GAUCUCAGAAUGUUCGGGACAUUCGGUCAUAUUGUAUAGUGUUCGAUAAAUGUCGACUCACUAACACCAUAGUAUACGGACUCCAAAACAGCUUUAAAUAAAUGUAGACAUUCAGUUUAUACUGACACUCCAAGCUAAAUAGAUCGUUUUUAUCUCACUUCAAAUCACAUUAUUCUAUCUCUACCUAAUCAGUGUACCCAAGUCCCUAAAAUACACCAGAGGACAUAAAAGUGUCGGCGAGGCGGAUUUUAUUUUACCCACCGCGUGCAAUUUGUUCGAUGUGAUCGGCUAGCGACGGUUUUGUGCAAAAAAAAAAACACGGGGAAAGAAAUUAUUCUUGGAUAGGUCAUUUCCUGUGGUGUGAUUCUGGUUGAGAUCGGCCAAAUAAACUUGGGCGCAAUGGCGCAGCCAACUAGGCCCAACUGCAGCAUAGUGACCAAAGGGUCGACACAACACGACACUAAGGAUUGUGCUCAGCGUAUUCCGAGGACAUCAUUCGCCGUAGAUGUACAAGUGAAAGGAGCUCCGAUUGGAACAGAUGAUACAGAUGAUGAAAAUUAAUGACUCGAGAGACAGUCUUCUGAAGUUUGGAACACCACAUCGUUUGAAGAGAUACAGUCGUGAUAAGUAUCACAAGUUGUUGAUAGAAUUCUUAAUGUUAUUAUACGUCCGUGUUAUAUUUAUGUAUUUAAUUGAUUGUAAUUAUGUGGUGCAUAAUUGGCAAAUGCCAAGUUCUGAAUGUUGUAUUAUUAAUUUUGAAAAGGGGAAGAAUUGUAGUGAUCUCAGAAUGUUCGGGACAUUCGGUCAUAUUGUAUAGUGUUCGAUAAAUGUCGACUCACUAACACCAUAGUAUACGGACUCCAAAAGAGCUUUAAAUAAAUGUAGACAUUCAGUUUAUACUGACACUCCAA